rnacentral:rRNA from 1 species
AUUGAACGCUGGCGGCAUGCCUUACACAUGCAAGUCGAACGGCAGCACGGGAGCAAUCCUGGUGGCGAGUGGCGAACGGGUGAGUAAUGUAUCGGAACGUGCCCAGUCGUGGGGGAUAACGUAGCGAAAGCUACGCUAAUACCGCAUACGAUCUAUGGAUGAAAGCGGGGGAUCGCAAGACCUCGCGCGAUUGGAGCGGCCGAUAUCAGAUUAGGUAGUUGGUGGGGUAAAGGCUCACCAAGCCGACGAUCUGUAGCCGGUCUGAGAGGACGACCAGCCACACUGGGACUGAGACACGGCCCAGACUCCUACGGGAGGCAGCAGUGGGGAAUUUUGGACAAUGGGCGCAAGUCUGAUCCAGCAAUGCCGCGUGCAGGAUGAAGGCCUUCGGGUUGUAAACUGCUUUUGUACGGAACGAAACGGCGAGCUCUAAUACAGUUUGCUAAUGACGGUACCGUAAGAAUAAGCACCGGCUAACUACGUGCCAGCCGCCGCAGUAA